ACCGAUAGUGAACCAGUACCGUGAGGGAAAGGCGAAAAGAACCCCGGCGAGGGGAGUGAAAAAGAACCUGAAACCGUGUACGUACAAGCAGUGGGAGCCUCUUUUAUGGGGUGACUGCGUACCUUUUGUAUAAUGGGUCAGCGACUUAUAUUCUGUAGCAAGGUUAACCGAAUAGGGGAGCCGAAGGGAAACCGAGUCUUAACCGGGCGUUAAGUUGCAGGGUAUAGACCCGAAACCCGGUGAUCUAGCCAUGGGCAGGUUGAAGGUUGGGUAACACUAACUGGAGGACCGAACCGACUAAUGUUGAAAAAUUAGCGGAUGACUUGUGGCUGGGGGUGAAAGGCCAAUCAAACCGGGAGAUAGCUGGUUCUCCCCGAAAGCUAUUUAGGUAGCGCCUCGUGAAUUCAUCUCCGGGGGUAGAGCACUGUUUCGGCAAGGGGGUCAUCCCGACUUACCAACCCGAUGCAAACUGCGAAUACCGGAGAAUGUUAUCACGGGAGACACACGGCGGGUGCUAACGUCCGUCGUGAAGAGGGAAACAACCCAGACCGCCAGCUAAGGUCCCAAAGUCAUGGUUAAGUGGGAAACGAUGUGGGAAGGCCCAGACAGCCAGGAUGUUGGCUUAGAAGCAGCCAUCAUUUAAAGAAAGCGUAAUAGCUCACUGGUCGAGUCGGCCUGCGCGGAAGAUGUAACGGGGCUAAACCAUGCACCGAAGCUGCGGCAGCGACACUGUGUGUUGUUGGGUAGGGGAGCGU
rnacentral:rRNA from 1 species